GUUUAUAUACAGGUAAAAGAGAAUUCCAAAAUACAAGAAUCUAGAAAAACUCUAGAGAAAUCUAUACAAAGAAUGCCUAUAUUUCCUAUCAUAUUUGCAGGAGAAGUUACAUCAGUCUCCAGCUUAUCUCUCAUCUGGAAUAACAAGCAGUAGCAACAGCUGGCAUGGGAAUCAAAUAGAGAACGUUAGAAAUGAGGCACACGAGCCCAUUAGCACUUUUUAUUUUUUUUCCAAAGAUAAUUUCAUUGAAGCCUCAACU
rnacentral:misc_RNA from 1 species